rnacentral:rRNA from 1 species
UACGGAGGUGGCAAGCGUUGCUCGGAAUCACUGGGCGUAAAGGGCGCGUAGGCGGGGAGGUAAGUCGGGUGUGAAAUCCCUCGGCCCAACCGAGGAACUGCGCCCGAGACUGCUUCUCUUGAGUCCCGGAGAGGAAGAUGGAAUUCCCGGUGUAGCGGUGAAAUGUGUAGAGAUCGGGAGGAACACCGGUGGCGAAGGCGGUCUUCUGGGCGGUGACUGACACUGAGGCGCGAAAGCGUGGGGAGCAAACGGG